UUCUUAUCCAGAGAGGUGGAGGGACUGGCCCUUUGAUACCUCAGCAACAGACUUAUUGUACUGUGCUAAUUCCAGAAGCGAAAAGCUUGAAGAUAAGAA
rnacentral:ncRNA from 2 species